AUUUAAGCCUCUUGCGACUAAAAUAAUAUUAACAGACAUACUAGGGAACCAAUACGAAAAAUAGAACAAGGCAGGGAUAAAAUAGACUCAAUAAGUAAAUAGGAAAAACUUACGUAAUAUAGUUCAAAUAUGCAAAUUUUACCUUAAACUAGAUCAAACACGAGGCAAGAACACGUUAACCUACUUCAAUGCUUAAGACAGCAAACUUGGAGAGUAUAAAAAAGAAAGUAAUUCUUGCUUAAUGCACAUAAACAACCAGGGAAAAGAAAUUAAACAAAUCUAGCUCGAGCAAAAUAUUCAAACUCAUUUAAAGAUGGGGAAUAUGUCAAACCAUGACCAGUCCAAGAGAGAACUAGCAACUAAUACAAAAUAAAAAUCAGUCCAGCACCUGGUAUUCUCUAAGCAGACAUGAAAGAAAAAAAAGAAAAGAAAAAGAAAAGCUCUAUCGAAGACAAAAGAGGGAGACUUUCAUGCAUCUGCAAGUUUAACACAUGAUGGAGUCCUAAAUCAGUUUUAUACAAAUACAUUCAAACCAACGAAUCAUAAGAUUGAGAAAGGAAAACCAAAAGAUAGCAAAGAGAAGCAGAGUACUAGAAAUAACAUUUAAAUCUUACGAAAACCAGAGAGGCUAGCAGGGAAAAGGGUGCAAACUUAUAUUCUAUACUGUACAAGAAACAAAUUUUAGACUCAACAAUAGACCAAGGUUACAUAAUUAAACGGACAAUGCCAAACAUGAUUUCAAUGAACAAGACAUAAUUAAGAGCCAACAAAAAUAGAGAAAAGAUUACCUAGUUCUGGGCAGCGAACUGGACGGGCGAGUUUGACGGAGACGAUUCCACCUCUUUCAACU
rnacentral:lncRNA from 1 species